ensembl:lncRNA
GGAGGCUGCGAACUUUGAGAAGCACUAUGAAGGAACUCGUGGGGCAAAUCGGUGACGCCCACAGUCCUCCGACCGAACCCCAGCAGGACGGACUGGAUGCUGAUGAUGGAUGCUGGCUCCGUGUCGUGUUGCAUGUAAAGUCUGAGGAGCUUCAGAGGUACGAAACCCCAAAGACAACUUCAGCUGGAGGACCCGAAAAGGUUGUGCUUGAAAGACGUGUGGCACCACCCUCCUCCUCCUCCUCCUCCUCCCUUUGUCAGCCUCCAGCAGGAGUAGACGGCGCGCUCACCUCUCCGAGCCGCCGAGAAGGUCACAGUUUGACGGGCCUCCUUUAAAGCCCCCGUGUCAACGUUUAAUUACACACACCGAGCCCAGCGGCUCCAUCAAGGACAGCUCCGUGAUAAUCAAUGCUCUCAGCCAGUCGCACCCGGCUCGGGGGUCGCUCCGCUAUUAACGGGGGAGCAGAGGAGCACAGCGGGGGGCGGAAACGUGGUGGAGCUCGAGAGGAGGGUAAAGAAGACAGGGAGACGAGAAAAUCCUGACAUGUCCCUAAAAUGUCUCAGAGCGCCUCACGCCUUGCGUGGGGGGCAGAAACACGGCUGCCAUGUUGAUUCCAGAAGCCGAGGCUGGAAGGCGGCGGUGACGCUCGGCGCCAAACCUCCCGGAGCUUCCUGUCGAGUAACAAAAAGAAGAUCAUGAAACGUUCACCUGAAGCAGAACUUCACCCACGAGGAGCCGACAUCAGCGACCCUAACCCUCAUAUCCACCGGCCUCCACAAACCGAGGAGGUCUCAGUGGACCCUGCCUCCGCCGGAGGACCUGAAGGAGUCCACGGAGGGGAGAGGAGAUGCAUGUUUACCGGCUACAAGAAAGCUGGUUUGGAAACUUCCACUAAACAGAUAAAAGUACUUUAUCUUCAUAUCAUUUGGUGGUUUCUACUCUUAACAUUCCUUACAUGUUAAUACUAAUAUUAAUACUCAGCAACAGUGUUUGUCCAGCAUGCAGCUCCUCCUGCACGAUUAGAAGUAAAGACUCUUAGAUGAGACGGCCGAGUUUUAUAAAUACAAGUUAUGUUUCAUAACGGACCCGAACAUUAAACGUCCAACAUCAGCUCAUUCAAUCUUCACAUACUGGAGAUUAUUCCUUUAUUCUUGGAUUCAUUUAAAUCCGAACCAAUUAAAGUAAAAGGAGGACGUGGGGAGAGUGGGUCAGAUCCACUGCCCU